GAUGAACGCUAGCGGCAGGCCUAAUACAUGCAAGUCGGACGGGAUUGAGAAGCUUGCUUUUCAUGAGAGUGGCGCACGGGUGCGUAACACGUAUGUAACCUACCUUAAUCAGGGGGAUAGCCUCUCGAAAGAGAGAUUAACACCGCAUAAAAUCAAUUUAUGGCAUCAUAGAAUGAUCAAAUAUUUAUAGGAUUAAGACGGGCAUGCGGAACAUUAGCUAGUUGGUAAGGUAACGGCUUACCAAGGCUACGAUGUUUAGGGGAUCUGAGAGGAUGACCCCCCACACUGGUACUGAGAUACGGACCAGACUCCUACGGGAGGCAGCAGUAAGGAAUAUUGGUCAAUGGGCGCAAGCCUGAACCAGCCAUGCCGCGUGCAGGAAGACGGCCCUACGGGUUGUAAACUGCUUUUGUACCGGAAUAAACCUUUGUAUGUAUACGAAGCUGAAUGUACGGUAAGAAUAAGGAUCGGCUAACUCCGUGCCAGCCGCCGCUGUAA
rnacentral:rRNA from 1 species